rnacentral:rRNA from 1 species
GAGUUUGAUCAUGGCUCAGAUUGAAUGCUGGCGGCGUGGCUAAAGCAUGCAAGUCGAGCGAACCCGCAAGGGUGAGCGGCGGACGGGUUAGUAAUACGACCGAACGUACCCUGAGGCGGGGGAUAGGUGUGGGAAACUGCGCGUAAUACCCCAUGAUCUCUCCGGAGCAAGGGUUUACCACCUUGGGAUCGGCGAUCGUCCUAUCAGCUAGUUGGCGGGGUAAAGGCCCACCAAGGCUAUGACGGGUAGCAGGUGUGAGAGCACGACCUGCAACAUCGGGACUGAGACACUGCCCGGACCCCUACGGGAGGCAGCAGUGGGGAAUAUUGCGCAAUGGACGAAAGUCUGACGCAGCGACGCCGCGUGUGGGAUGAAGCUUUUCGGAGUGUAAACCACUGUUGCCCGGGACGAACCUCCCCUUUCGAGGGGACUGACGGUACCGGGUGAGGAAGCACCGGCUAACUCUGUGCCAGCAGCCGCGGUAAUACAGAGGGUGCGAGCGUUGUCCGGAAUCACUGGGCGUAA